AUCAACGCUGGCGGCGUGCCUAACACAUGCAAGUCGAACGAGAAAGCGGGGGCAACUCCGUGAGUAAAGUGGCGACCGGGUGAGUAACACGUGACUACCUACCCUGAAGUGGGGAAUAACUCCGGGAAACCGGGGCUAAUACCGCAUGAUAAUCGCGAGGGGAAGAUCCUUGUGAUCAAAGGAGAAAUUUGCCUUUAGGAGGGGUCGCGGCUGAUUAGCUAGUUGGUAGGGUAACCGGCCUACCAAGGCGAAGAUCAGUAGCCGGCCUGAGAUGGCGCACGGCCACACUGGAACUGAAACAACGGUCCAGACUCCUACGGGAGGCAGCAGUGGGGAAUUUUGCGCAAUGGGGAAACCCUGACGCAGCAACGCCGCGUGGAGGAUGAAGUCCCUUGGGAUGUAAACUCCUUUCGAUCGGGACGAUAAUGACGGUACCGGAAGAAGAAGCACCGGCUAACUCUGUGCCAGCAGCCGCGGUAAUACAGAGGGUGCAAGCGUUGUUCGGAAUUAUUGGGCGUAAAGGGCGCGUAGGCGGUUGCGGUAAGUCUGUAGUGAAAUCUCUGGGCUCAACUCAGAGUCUGCUAUAGAAACUGCCGUGCUUGAGUGUGGGAGAGGUGAGUGGAAUUCCCGGUGUAGCGGUGAAAUGCGUAGAUAUCGGAGGAACACCUGUGGCGAAAGCGGCUCACUGGACCACAACUGAGCUGAGGCGCGAAAGCUAGGGGAAGCAACAGGAUUAGUACCCUGGUAGUCCUAGCCCUAAACGAUGAUCGCUUGGUUGUCGGGUACCCAAUCCCGCCGUGCCGAAGCUGAACGCGUUAAGCGAUCGCCUGGGGAGUACGGGGUCGCAAGACUGAAACUCAAAGAAUUGACGGGGGCCCGCACAAGCGGUGGAGCAUGUGGUUCAUUCGACGCAACGCGAAGAACCUUACCUGGGCUCGAAAUGUAGUGGAUCGGGGUGGAAACCAUCCUUUCCCGCAAGGGCCCGCUACUAUAGGUGCUGCAUGGCUGUCGUCAGCUCGUGUCGUGAGAUGGUGGGUUAAGUCCCGCAACGAGCGCAACCCUAUUCUGUCAGUUGCCAUCAUUUAGUUGGGCACUCUGCGAAACCGCCUCGGAUAACGGGGAGGAAGGUGGGGAUGACGUCAAGUCCUCAUGGCCUUUAUGCCAGGGCUACACACGUGCUACAAUGGUCACUGUACAUAAAACGUCGCAACCGCGAGGGGAGCUAAUCGGAAAAAAGCCGGACCUCAGUUCGGAUUGAAGUCUGCAACUCGACUUCAUGAAGCUGGAAUCGCUAGUAAUCGCGUAUCAGAACGGCCGCGGUGAAUACGUUCCCGGGCCUUGUACACAACGCCCGGUCACAUCACGAAAGUGGCUUGUACUAGAAGCAGGAUGUGCAACCGCAAGGAGGCAGCCUUCCAAGGUAUAACUCAUGAUUGGGGUG
rnacentral:rRNA from 1 species